rnacentral:snoRNA from 1 species
UGGACCAGUGAUAAGAAUGUGUUAGGAACCAACCAAGAUGUUAUGAAUAUGGUUUUGUAUGCCUGAGGUCUGUU